GCCGGGCAUGGUGGCUCAUGCCUGUAAUCCCAGCACAUUGGGAGGCUGAGGCGAGUGGAUCACCUGAGGUCAGGAGUUAAAGACCAGCCUGGCCAACAUGGUGAAACCUCGUUUCUA
ensembl:misc_RNA Metazoa_SRP Metazoan signal recognition particle RNA